rnacentral:rRNA from 1 species
GACGAACGCUGGCGGCGUGCUUAACACAUGCAAGUCAGGGGGCGGGGCAACCCGUCACCGGCGAACGGGUGCGUAACACGUGAGCGACCUGCCUUCGAGUGGGGGAUAGCCGGCCCAACGGCCGGGUAAUACCGCAUACGUCACUUCGGGGGCAUCCCCGGGGUGAGAAACCACUUGGGCUCGGAGAGGGGCUCGCGGCCUAUCAGCUAGUUGGCGAGGUAACGGCUCACCAAGGCGAUGACGGGUAGCNGGUCUGAGAGGAUGGCCAGCCACAUUGGGACUGAGAGACGGCCCAGACUCCUACGGGAGGCAGCAGUGGGGAAUCUUGCGCAAUGGGCGAAAGCCUGACGCAGCAACGCUGCGUGGGUGAGGAAGGC